rnacentral:rRNA from 1 species
AGCGGCGGACGGGUGAGUAAUGCCUAAGAAUCUGCCUGGUAGUGGGGGAUAACGUCCGGAAACGGACGCUAAUACCGCAUACGUCCUACGGGAGAAAGCAGGGGACCUUCGGGCCUUGCGCUAUCAGAUGAGCCUAGGUCGGAUUAGCUAGUUGGUGGGGUAAUGGCUCACCAAGGAGACGAUCCGUAACUGGUCUGAGAGGAUGAUCAGUCACACUGGAACUGAGACACGGUCCAGACUCCUACGGGAGGCAGCAGUGGGGAAUAUUGGACAAUGGGCGAAAGCCUGAUCCAGCCAUGCCGCGUGUGUGAAGAAGGUCUUCGGAUUGUAAAGCACUUUAAGUUGGGAGGAAGGGCAGUAAAUUAAUACUUUGCUGUUUUGACGUUACCGACAGAACAAGCACCGGCUAACUCUGUGCCAACAGCCGCGGUAAUACAGAGGGUGCAAGCGUUAAUCGAAAUUACUGGGCGUAAAGCGCGCGUAGUGGUUCGUUAAGUUUGGAUGUGAAAUCCCCGGGCUCAACCUGGGAACUGCAUUCAAAACUGACGAGCUAGAGUAUGGUAGAGGGUGGUG